CUGAGGUUAGGGUUAGGUUAGGGCGGCCGUGGUGCAGACGGGGAGAAAGGGUGGCAAAGGAGGAGGAAGAGGAGGAGCAGGAGCAAGACCAGGAGGAGUAAGAAGUAAGAGAGGGGAUAAAAAGGGAGGAGGAAUCUCGGGGUCCACCGCUCACUGUACCGCCCCCGGGAGCAUCGUCUCCUUCCUCCCAGCGUUCUGCAGAAUUUGUCAUUCCCAAGCCUUGGCUGGAUGGAGAAGACUGUGGGUAAGAUGCUCCAGAAUACCUAGGCAGGCACUGAGCUGUGAACGGAGACCAGAGAGAACAAAUCCCCGUGGCAGAACCUUAUGAAAAAGGCCAUUUUUAGUGGUUCCACAGCACAUGAAGUCAACAGGGAGGAAAAGCCAUGGAGAACCCCCACAAGGAGGGCCUGCAAACCCAGCCCAUGGUGCUCUGAGGAGGAAAGACCCACCCUGUGCCAGGAAGGCAGCUGAGCUCUGACCAGGUGGUUGACCAGUAGCUUCACAAUGGGGAGAAACCCUACAAGGAAUUCUUUGAAUGUGGGAAGAGCUUCAGCAACAGCUCCAACCUCCUCAUCCACCAUUGGGUGCACACGGGAAAUGGCCCUGUGAGUGUGAGGAAUGUGGGAAGAGCUUCACUCAGAGCUCCAGCCUGAACUGCCACCAGAAGAUCCACACGCGGAACAGCCCUAAAAGUGUUUGGAAUGUGGGAAGAGCUUUAUCCAGAGCUUCAGCCUGAUGUGCCACCAGAAGAUCCACACUGGGGAAUGGCCCUGCCCAUACUUGGAAUGCAGAUUCAGCCUCCUCUUCCAUCUGAUCUACCACCAGUGUCCAUGCUAGGAAACAGCCCUGUACACUCUUGGAAUGCAGGGAGAGCUUCAGGUGAGGCAUCUGCCUGGUCUGCCACCAGAGCAUCCACACUGGGGAACAGCCCUACAUGUGCAGGGAAUGUGGAAAGAGGUUUAGUGACUGUUCCAACCUGAUCUGCCACCAGAACAUCCACACCAGGAGGAGGCUCUAAGAGUGUCCCAAGUGUGGGAGGAGCUUCUCCUGCAGCUCUGCCUUGAUCCAACACCAACAGUCCCACAGGUAAGGGAAGUCCUGCAAGUGCCCUGCCUGCAGGAAGAGCUUUGUUCACUGCUCCAAGUUCACUCAUUAGAGGACCCACGUUGUGUUAUCUAUGGCGACCAUGUUGGGAUGUGAAUCAACCUGGUGAUUCAAGUUGAUCACAGACAUGGUAAUCCAGCACUGGCAGAGACCAAGAUUUUGGAGACAAUUUUGUGGGAACCCCUUCUACAAAAGGCUCUUUCACCCACCCAACCCAAUCCGACCCAACCCAAACCCACAGAUACAAUGCUGACAUGUAAAUUCUUUAAUUUUGGCCUUGAUUUUCUUGUAAUCUAUCCUUUAAAAACACCCCAAACUGGGUAAAAAUAAAGAACCUCAUCAAAGAUGUGUAAAA